AUCGUCAAUGAGGCCGACCUGGUCGACGGUGUGAUUUGGCUGGCCGCGUGGACCGCCGGUCAAGGAGAUGUGGCGUCCUUGCCAGCCUCGUCAUGGCCGCUCAUCAAGUCGACGGCGGCUGCUCCCACGGUACCCUGUCAAUUAUGCAUUUUAUAAGGGAUAUUGCAUUCCCUAAAAAGGAUGGGUAGCUCAUCAGUCUUUUUCUGAGAGUAGUUUGGUUGAACUACUGAGUACUGUCAAAGAUUAUGCAAGACCCUGAAGCCAUUGAUGACAGAAGCAUGAAAGGCUGACUAGGUUGCAUGUGUGGUUACAGGAAAAUGAAGCGACCUCUGCAUCAGUUUCUGAACUAAGCAAGAGAUGUGCGGAGAUCAAGUUACCUUCUUCAGGUAACAGUUCAAGGAUGAGGACGGCCGGCUCGUUCAGGGGAGGACGGUGAGCUCGUUCAGGGGAGGGCAUCGAGUUCGUUCAGGGGAGGGCGACGAUCUUGUCCAGGGAGCAGACGAGCUCGCCGUCGGAGCAGCCGGCGGCGCAGUGGCGCAAGGAGGAGGUCAAGCCGUCGAGGACAACGACGAUCGCAGCGGAGGUGCA